GUUUAACGGCCGCUGUAUUCUUGACGGUGAUAAUGUAGGAAAAUAAAUAGUCGCUUAAUUAGCGAACGUAGGUGAAUGGUUUUACGAGAUUUCUACUGUCUUAAGUAUAUGAUUAAAAAAAUUUAAAUAAUAGUGAAGAUGCUAUUUAAAAUUGUAAGACGAGAAGACCCUAUAAAGCUUAACUAUAGUUUUAUGGUUUAUUAUUAAAAGAAUUUUUAAUUAUUCAUAAGAUUGGUAGUUUGGUUGGGGUAACAACAUUUUAAAUUUAAAGAAUGUAAUAUUUAUAAUUGUGUUAUUUAUUGUUUAAUUUAUUUAUUUAACAAUCAUGAAAUGGAUAUAAUGACCUGUCAUUUUAUAAAAAUUUUAGGUGACAAUAAAUAGAUAAAAGCUACUUUAGGGAUAACAGGUUAAUUUUAUCUUAGAGAUGGUAUCGAAGAUGAAGUUUGACACCUCGAUGUUGAAUUAAGAUGUCCUGGUAAUGCAGUCGUUACCAAAGGUUGGUCUGUUCGACCAUUAAAAUCUUACAUGAUUUGAGUUCAUUC
rnacentral:rRNA from 1 species